UUAAGUAUAAUUAAAUCGUAUUCCAUUGUAUAUCACAGGAAUAAUUCAUAUUUCUAUUAAUUCUCUGAAGUUUUGUUUGUCACUGGCGGAUAUAUCUACCAAUAAAACUAAGCCUAGUGAUUUGGGAAUUUUUCGCUCUCUCUCUCGCGAGAAGGCCCGAUUUUUUUGGAAAUUUCAACUGUGUGUUCGUGUCCGACAAAAUUUGUGAUUUAAAUCAUCUUCUACAAAGAUUAAUAUUUGUGGCCAAAUACAUAGAAUUUAGGGGUAGUUAGUGCAUUGGAUGCAGAUAUUUUUGGUGUAGACCCCGAUUUUACGACUUCUUAUGAAGGAUUAGUGACACAACACUGUGUGAAUUUCGUUCUUCCCAGGAAAAAUACGUAAGGGGGUGAUAAGGUCCACAUUCGUUGUAGAUUAGCCGACUAACUAGUUUUGUAAGGAAUCCCUUGUUAAGGAAACUGGACUUCUACGUAACAGCAUUUGCAACACUAUUGAUGUUCCUGUACUUAUCCAAAUAUCUCCUGUGGCAGUAUCAGCCAAGGCAAUCGGUGCUACCACGUCUACUAUUAUUCGUCAUAUCGUAGGAGUUUUGGUACAGUUCCGUGGAAGAUCCUCUACCAGACAUAUUUCUUCGAUAAUAAAGGAUUUCACUCAAGUUUUUGAAACAAUAAUUUUGCUUUUAUUUUUUUUACGCAAUGCUUAAAUUUUAUUAUAAAAUUAAUUUUUUAGUAUUAUUAAUUUGCUAUUGCUUAGUAAUAUUUAUUAUUUGCUUAGCUUUACUGGCUUAGAUCCGAUUGUUUGCAUGUAUGCGCUUUUGUUAUUGUUGUUUUUUUUUCAAAAUUUUCUUUUUAUUUUCGCUUUAUUGACUUGAUUAAUUGACAGCAUUUUGUAAUACGCUUGCGGAAAUUAGGGUACUUACCAGCCUAUUUACGGUAUACACCUGCUUAUGUGUAUUUAUGCGCAUGCGCCUGAGCUCAAGCGACGCCAUCUCGAAGACCUACUGCCUAUCUUUUGCAUUUUGCUUAAAUAGAUUUUAUCUUCCUAAUCUAUAAUCGUUUGCGUAGCUAGUUUCAAUAUUUGCUUUUGCUAUUAAUCAAAAUACUAUUACAAUUUUCAGAUAUUAUUCAGUAAUUAUACAAUUAACUGUUAUAAGUGUAAAUAUGUAAAA